UGGGGGAUAUUGCACAAUGGGCGAAAGCCUGAUGCAGCGACGCCGCGUGGGGGAUGAAGGCCUUCGGGUUGUAAACUUCUUUUGCUCUGAACAAGGCGCACCAUGGCGUGUGUUGAGUGUAGGGGUUGAUUAGCGCCGGCUAACUACGUGCCAGCAGCCGCGGUAAUACGUAGGGCGCGAGCGUUGUCCGGAAUUAUUGGGCGUAAAGGGCUUGUAGGUGGCUGGUUGCGUCUGUCGUGAAAGCUCAUGGCUUAACUGUGGGUUUGCGGUGGGUACGGGCUGGCUUGAGUGCAGUAGGGGAGGCUGGAAUUCCUGGUGUAGCGGUGGAAUGCGCAGAUAUCAGGAGGAAUACCGGUGGCGAAGGCGGGUCUCUGGGCUGUUACUGACACUGAGGAGCGAAAGCAUGGGGAGCGAACAGG
rnacentral:rRNA from 1 species